rnacentral:lncRNA from 1 species
UCCCUGCUCAAAUGCCUGGGGUUUAUAUACCGAUCAUUGCCCCUCCCCCUGUGCUCUUCAGGCGAUAUAUGAUUUGACUAUUUCUUUACCCCCUGCUUUAGCCUAAUUUGUAUUUUAGUGAGCCCUAUUUACUACCUGAUUGGUCAGGUGUGAGCUUAGUUACAAGCCCUGUGUUUAAAGGUGAGUGCAGUCACCUUUCCCAGCUAGGCUUAGGAAUUCUUAGUUGGCCUAGGAAAUCCAGCUAGUCCUGUCUGUCAGUCCCCGCUCUCAACAGGAAAACCCAAGUGCUGUUGGGGAGGUUGGCUGACGACUGCUUUUAACUACUUCCUGCUGAAUUGGGGUAUAGUAGGGGUCGUGCAGUCGAGAUUUCCUCGGGAGGGGUGCCUUCGAUGUCAUUAACAUCGGAGCAUGGGCUAGCAGGCCGGUCCAGGGGUCUGCGGUAGAUCUUAGCCAUGGACUGCAUCUGGGGCCCCAUUUGAAGAACGAUUUGUAGUUUUAUAGCUUUGAUUCUAGAAGAGACAAACUUAACAAGGAGGUUAAAGAUACAGGAAUUGAAAUGUAUGACCUGAAGUGCAGGUGCAUAUGGGUGUGGGUGGUGAAAGUGGGGUUUCCUUUAGAAAAACUACAAUGGGGCGUCAAUAUUUCUGGGAAGCCGCAUUCUCCAUAGAAGCUCUUGGUAAAGGGAGCUACUGGUAGUACAGCGGCAAGGAGGAGGUGCAGUGAGAGUGAAAGGUUUGGUGAAGGGUUUUAAGUAACUACCAUUGGUUGGCUGCAGGCAAAAGUAUUUUUCCUUCUUUGGUGGCUAGCCAUCCUGAGGGGAGGAAACUACGUCCUCGUGAGGUUCCCCAUUCUAUUUCUUCUUCUGAGUACUGGGGCUUGGUUUCCCGGAGGGGAUUACCCCAUGCUAGGGUCCUUCUAUAAGCAUUUCUAAUGGAGGGUCCUGCCUUGCGGCUCUUUUGGCUUCAAUGUCCUCUUGGUGCUUCCCUUCUACUUCCCUUUCCUUUUCUUUCUGAUGACCCCGGCAGUUUAAGACUGCCACCUCUUUAGGUUUCUGUACAGCCAAGAAUAAUCUCCUAAUGGCUUCCUGAUGUUUGAUAGGUGUUCCUUGGAAGUUAGGAAUUCCCUUUCUCUCCAUAUUGCUGCAUGGUCAUGGAGGACUAGGUAAGCAUAUUAGAGUCUGUAUAUAUAUUUACCCUUUUUCCUUCUAGUUCUAGUGCCUGAAUGAGGUCUGUUAGUUCUGCCAGCUGAGCGCUAGUUCCUGGAGUGAGGGGGUUACUUUGAAGUAUUCCAUUAUCACUGAGCACUGCGUACCCUGCUUUUCGAAGUCCUUUUUCUACAAAGGAACUUCCAUCAGUAUACAAGUUGAGGUCGGGAUCAGUCAAGGGAACCUCUAGAAGGUCCCCUUAAGCGGCGUAGGUGUGAGCAAUCACCUGUUGACAGUUAUGUUCUUUUUUUUAUUGUCUGGAAGAAAUGUGGCUGGAUUAAGAGUUGCACAAGUGCACAGUUGCAGCACUGGCUCUUUAAUAGAGCCUGAUAUUUAAGCAAAUGGUUGUCUGACAGCCACAAGUCUCUUUUAGCAGUGAGUAUGCUGUUUACAUUAUGAGAUGUCCACACAGUAAGAUCUCUUCCCUGUAUUAUUUUAACUGCUUCAGAUCCUAAGACUGCUACUGCUGCCACUGCCCAUAAACAAUGAGGCCAACCCUUUGCCACUACAUCAAUUUCCUUACUCAGGUAUGCCACAGGUUGCAAGCUGGUCCCUCGGACCUGUGUAAGGACUCCUAGAGCUAUUCCUGUUUUUUUCUGUUACAUGUAAAGAAAAGUCUUGGCCUGUUGGCAAGCUUAACACUGGGGCUUGGGUUAGGGCCUUCUUUAGGGCAAGCUGGGGGGACGCCGGGAUAGGGAGGUAGACUCUGAGGGCUUCCUGUAGGGCAUAAAUCACACUUUUUACAUAAUUGUGAGUUGUUUCUUAAUGAAAAGAAAGUUUGUACAUAUGGCACUUCACUCCAUUUGCCUCUUUUUUUAUACAAAAGAGGUCUAGCUGUAAGAUGUUAUA